AAGUAAAUGAGAAAAUUCAAGAUAAAAUAAAUGAUUGAAGAAAAAUAGAUUGACAAUAUGCUAGAGUUCAACCUUUACCAAUAACACUCCUACGUAGCUCUUCCAAUUGCUUAAAUAAUUGAAAACACACAUGCUUUGAAGGUUGGAUUUUCCUUGUGUAUGUUUUACUUGUGACAUUCAAGCUAAAACGCAUACCACUACAUGCAAUUUAUCCAUGACAUUUGGAUUAAAUAUAAACAUGAAUGAUUCAUUAAUCUUGAUGAAAAUCCUUUUGUUAAACCAUGUAAUCCCUAAGAGUAUGAUAUUUACCUUAGGAGAAAUUACAAUCCUCAAUCACAAGAAGCAUAACCAAUUUUAACGUGACAUUCGUUCAAAAUUGCAUCUAAUGACUUUUCUAAACAUCCUAAUGGUGAUCAAGCAUCAAGACACAUAGAUAGUUUAAUUUAGAGAUUGAAAAUAUCAAAGCAAGCAUUUAACAACACUUAAGCAAUUGAAAGAGAAAUCUACAUAAUCAUGUUGCGGCUUAUGGCCUCACUCUAGCAAAAUAAAUUAGUUACACAUAAUUAUUUGAAUACAUAA
rnacentral:lncRNA from 1 species